GGGAUCUUAGCUCAGCUGGGAGAGCAUCUGCCUUACAAGCAGAGGGUCAUAGGUUCGAGCCCUAUAGGUCCCAC
rnacentral:tRNA from 6 species